GAUGCAACGCGAAGAACCUUACCAAGGCUUGACAUAUACGAGAACGGGCCAGAAAUGGUCAACUCUUUGGACACUCGUAAACAGGUGGUGCAUGGUUGUCGUCAGCUCGUGUCGUGAGAUGUUGGGUUAAGUCCCGCAACGAGCGCAACCCUCGUUCUAUGUUGCCAGCACGUAAUGGUGGGAACUCAUGGGAUACUGCCGGGGUCAACUCGGAGGAAGGUGGGGAUGACGUCAAAUCAUCAUGCCCCUUAUGUCUUGGGCUUCACGCAUGCUACAAUGGCCGGUACAAAGGGCUGCAAUACCGUGAGGUGGAGCGAAUCCCAAAAAGCCGGUCCCAGUUCGGAUUGAGGUCUGCAACUCGACCUCAUGAAGUCGGAGUCGCUAGUAAUCGCAGAUCAGCAACGCUGCGGUGAAUACGUUCCCGGGUCUUGUACACACCGCCCGUCAAGUCAUGAAAGUCGGUAACACCUGAAGCCGGUGGCCUAACCCUUGUGGAGGGAGCCGUCGAAGGUGGGAUCGGUAAUUAGGACUU
rnacentral:rRNA from 1 species